rnacentral:miRNA from 1 species
UUCUUGGGAGGAGCAUGCUAG